GUGACAGACUGAUACAAGUGGGUCCUCUGAGAAAUCCAGUUGUAGUCCCACAUGAGAUGGAGGCUCAGACAGUCACGUGGUUGGUUUUUCUGGCCCUAAUAAAACAUGUUUCUACAAGUGACUAUGGAAGUCCCGUUAAAUGUAUGUACAAUACAAAUCUGAAUAUGGAAAUAUGUUUCAGAAUAUACAUAAAAUUACAAUCAGGACACAAAUGUGUCCUUCCUG